rnacentral:tRNA from 1 species
GCCUGGGUGGCUUAAUUGGUUAAGCGUCUGACUUUGGCACAGGUCAUGAUCUCAGUUUGUGGGUUCGAACCCCACACUGGGCU